rnacentral:lncRNA from 1 species
GAAAAUUGUCAACCACUCCUUCCUUAGGGGGUAAAAGCAACAUUCGGCACCGGGGGCAGGUCAAGGCGAGGCGGUCACGUGGCAGGCGCCCGGGCCAAUGGGGGGCCCCGGGAGGACUCAGCACCCGCCUCACCCCAACACCAGGCUCGCCUCUUCAGCUCAUAUAAGGUAAAAGGCAGAGGGCCCCUCUGUGGCCAAGGAGCAGCGGGCAAGGGGCUAAGGGGAGGGGGGCCCAGUGCCAGCCGUUUAAAAAUGCCCCGUGGCGGUAAGGGGUGCCAGAGGCCCGGUCAAGUUAGUUGAGAAGCAGUGACGCCCCCAACCGUCCCCUAAAUGGGCUGCCCCCCGUGUCCGCGCCACAAGGAGCCACACCUGGACCAGACCCCAGGAGAGGUAAGAACCAGUGGCAGACAUGGCGUCUGCGAAUCGGGGGGCAUCUGUGGCAUCCGCCACAGGGGCAUGCUGUAGCCAGGGGUCUGGUCCUUGCUCUCUCGCUAACCUGCUCUGCGCUUCCACCUUUCCGGGCCUCAGUUUCCCCAUCCGUCCAGGGGCCGGACUGGACGAUCUCUAAGUGCCCACCCUGCCCUGACCGGAUGGGCGGGGUCUGUGGUCCAGUUGGCCCGGAGGGCUCUGUGGCUGUGGUUAAGUGGGGGGUGGGAGCGGUCGGCGUUCGUGUCCUGCCGGCCCUGGGCCCAUCUCCCCGGCUUCUCUGGAGACACUGCUUCUUCCUUGCUCUGGGAGGUUUGAUUUCACAGCUCCAAAAGCCUGGGGCUCCUGGCAAGGAAAGCUGUUUUCAAAUAAUGGUUUCAAGAAGCAAAGCCGAGGCGAAGCUAUGUCAGCGCAGGCUCCAGCAGACCGGCAGAGGGGCGGGGAAGGCCAGGGUGCCGGCUGGGGGCUGGGGACGUGGGCUCCAGCCCCAGCUCUGCCUCUCACUGCCUGGCCCUGUGGCCCUGGGCAGGCACCCUACCCUCUCUGGGCUGCAGUUUCCCAUCCGUACCACGAAACCGUGGGACAACAAGGUCUCCGUGCAGGAUGUGGCUUCUGGAGCCCUACUGCAGCCUAAAGGGCAGCCAGUGCCGGAAGUACCCCGCCCCCCACCCGAGUCCCUGAGCUGAGAGUCCACGCAGAUGCCUGAAGCCCAUGGGAGCGUUCAGAGGUUGAGCCUCAAGUGGCGGAAAGGAGCCCAAGGGUCUCCGACUGUAGGUUUGGCCAGGGGAGGGCCAGCCCACAGCCCCGAGGCCUCAGGAUGAGCCUGGCCCUGUUGCAGCCUCUGGUGGGGAAGGGGCUGAUCUCUGGACCAGGGGGUGCAGGGCCUCGGGGUGCCAUAAGGACCGAACACACAGCAGAGGGUUUCAGGAGGAGUGACGCGGUGUGGUGGGGGCCUCGGAGGAAGGCAGCAGACACGCGAGGCAGGGCUGUGCAGGGGCAGAGGCCUGGGAUCGGCACCGGAAGGUGUGCAGGCAGUAUCGCUCUUCUGAAUAUGCUCUGACCACAUCUGGGGCCCAGAGUGGACACAACCCUCCAACGCCAGCCCGCCCACCACCUUCGCUUGCCCCACUCUGGUCACAUAAGACCUGAGGCCAUAAUGGUCCCAAAGGAGACUCUGGAAUCCAACUGCCUGGGUCCAAUCCUGGCUCUUUUACUUCCCAGACACGUGACCUUGGGCGAGUCACUUGCUAUCCCCAAGCCUCAGCUUCCUCCUCUAUAAAAUGAGUAUGGUUCUGACGUCACUUGGUUGUCAUGAAGAGAGAGGGACACAGGCACCCAAGAGCAGGGUAAAUGGGGCUGGUGUCAUGUUACCACCGGACCCUACUCCUCUCGAGGGGCAAGAUGACCUUAGCUCUGUUUAGAGAAAAGUGGGAAUGAAACUCAGGGAGCACUCAGAGUUGCUGAAGAGAGAAGGUACAGCAGGCAUGAGUUCAAAGGCCAGAGGUUAAGCCGUCGGUGGGGCCCCAGGAAUCUGCAUUUCAAGCUCCUGGGGGGAGUUCCCACACAUGUAGAGUUUUGUGGGGUUUUUUAAUUUUUUUUUUUAAUUUAUUUGUUUUUGAGACAGAGAGAGAGCAUGAACGGAGGAGGGUCAUAGAGAGAGGGAGACACAGAAUUCGAAACAGGCUCCAGGCUCUGAGCUGUCAGCACAGAGCCCGAUACGGGGCUUGAACUCACGGACCGCGAGAUCAUGACCUGAGCUGAAGUCGGACACUUACCGACUGAGCCACCCAGGCGCCCCUGUAGAGUUUUAAGAAUGCUGUGAGGCCAAGCAGCCGAGACCCUCACAAACACAGCUGAGGGAACUGGAUCCAAUAAGAGAGCACUGCUCUAGGUCAUGCAGAGAGCCGAUGACAGGGCUAGAACAGAAGCAGCCGGCCUCCCGAAUCCCGGACUCCAUGGUGGCGGUGCAGAUACGAGAAUUAUAUUGCGAUUGCCAUGGUCCAGCCAUUACCUAAGGUCUUUACAUGAAACAAUUCACUAAAUCAUCACAACAACCCUGUGAGGUAGGCGCGAUUAUGAUCCCCAUUGGACAGAUGAAGAAACUGAGUCAUGGAGGCUAAGUGACUUGCCUAAGGUCACCUAGCUUGCGAAUUGUUAAGGCUGGACAUGUAUUGUGCCAGCUGCCCCAGCUGCUCUCUCCCCCCGGGGUCUCCCACCCCCUGCCCCUCGGCCACUCCACCCCAGAACUUCCUGCUGACCCUCCAAUGUGGGGGUGACCUCGUGAAUAUACAUGGAGGAUUUCCUGGGAGGCCAGGUACCAGGCUGAAUCACUUGUAGUAUCAUUUAAUCUUCCCAGGAUUACCCAGAGGCAGGAAUCAGCAUCAUUUCAUUAUCCCUAAUUUAUAGAGUAGGAAACCACUGGAGCUCACCCAAGGUCACACAACUAAGAAAGUGGCAGAGGGGAUUUGAACCUAGUCCGCAGCUCCAAAAUACACGCUCUUGGCUUGCCCACCACAACACCUCGAAGCAGGGAGGAGGGAUCCCAUUUCAGAGAGGAGAUUGGCUAAGACGGUGAUCUCGCCAGAACUUGAAGCCAAGUGUUCUAGUUAGUUUCAAAGCCACCGUUUUUUCCUCAGCCCCACGGCUGCCCCAGGAUAGAAAGGACUUUGUCCCGACUCGCUAAGAGCCACACUGCAGCUCUCUGGGCAAAAUCAGCCCUUUCCCAGAGUGGCCAGUUGUGGGAAAGAGCCGACACACAUCGCUCUGGGGAAUAGAAAGUUCCAGGCCCAGUGUCACCGCGAACCCUCGGGGCUGUAUCUGAUUCCCCGUGCGAGCCCUGAGGAGCUAGGGAGAUGGUCUCCGAGGUCCUCACCGCUGGGCUAUGCCUGGGUCCUGCCUCAACCACUGUCUUCCAAGUGAAUAGUCCCCAGGGCACAGGGCCGUGGGGUCGUGCAAAAACCUGUGAUGAAGGCUUUUUCUGAUGGUUGCUAUUAUGACUACUUUUGUCCACGUCUCCUGGUGCUUGUGAGCCGGAGUUUCUCUGGAAUUUAUACCUUGAGAGAGAGAUUGCUGGGGUCUGGCCUACAUGCCUGGUCAACUUUACAGGAGAGCACUGGCUCGUCCCCCAAAGUGGCUGAAUCAAGUUGCACUCCUACCAGUUGCAUACAAGCAUCCCCCGCCUUCACAACACUUAAAACGGUCGGAUUUCUUUUUCUUUUCUUUUUUUUGGGGGGAGGGGGGAGGGAAGAGGGAGAGCGUGAGCAGGGGAGGGGCAGCCCGAAGCCCGACACAGGGCUGGAUCUCACAAUCACGGGAUCAUGACCUGAGCUGAAAUCAAGAGGGGAGGCUUGACUGACUGAGCCACCAGGCGCCCCCUAGAGUUUACUUUAAAAAAAAAAAAGGAUGAAAAAGAAACAAAACUCUGCUCGCCGCUGUCCACAUGGGUGUCUAGAAGGCCCCCUUCCAUGCGCCAAGCCGCAGAGCACCCUGGAGGCCCUGGGGCAGGAUGAGCACUGCUCACGCGGCCUUCCCCCGGCCCAGCGGUGUGAGGCGGCUACGCUCCAACCAGAGGCCGCCUGCCCGAUCAUCUGCAGGAAUUUGGGGGAAAGAGCCCACGGGGGCUGCCAUCUCCGGACGGCCUGUCUAGACAGGCCCCGCGGGACUUCACCACACAUACGAGGGCCACAGAGGCGGCCCCCUCCCCGCUUGCAAAAGCGACUUAUUGGCAGCCAUGCUUCUCCACCAGAAACCUUUUCUCCAAUUCAAAACCCGCCUUAGCGCACGGCAUGAAUCACCUAUUCCCACGGCCCGUGGAGACCAACUCAUCCGGGCCCCUUUUGUCCAGAUGAGGAAACCGAGGCCAACUCCUGAGCGAAGGGGCUUUCAGAGGUGGGGUGAUACUCUUUGCCCAGGUGAAGAGGGGACUGGGAUUGGGCGGGGGGGUCAGACGGCUGCCAGAACAGGGCUAAAAUACAAGAGGCUGGUGGGGGGCGCCUGGGUGGCACGGUCAGUUAAGCCUCCAACUUCGGCUCAGGUCGUGAUCUCACGGUUCAUGAGUUCGAGCCCCGCGUCGGGCUCUGUGCUGACAGCUCAGAGCCUGGAGCCUGUUUUGGAUUCUGUGUCUCCCUCUCUCUCUCUGCCCCUCCCCCGCUCACACUCUGUCUCUCUCUCUCUCUCUCUCUUUCAAAAUAAACAUUAAAAAAAAGAAAGAUGCAAGAGGCUGGCGGUUAAAGGUGCCGAAUGGCAGUCAGGCUGCCUGGGUUUGAAUUCCAGAUCUUUCUCAUAGCAUCUGUGUGACAGGGGGCGUGAUAAGAAUUCCUGUCUCCUCAGGUUACUGAGUUGCCUGGAUUAAACGGGCUCAAACGCAUGAGGCCCUCAGAUCAGUGACCGGGCGCAGAGCAAGUGGUCAGUAGCAAAUAACUGCUAAAAUGUGCUAGCAGCCGUCCGGCUCAUCCACACAGGGUCUGCUCCAGGACCCCCAGGGCAUGCCUGAAACCGCAGGGGGCGCUGAGCCCUGUACAUAUUGUGUUUCUCCUAUGCACACCUACCAGUCACAAAGUUUACCUUGGAAGUUAGCCACAGUGAGACGCUAACAAUAACUAAUAACACAGACCAAUUACAACAACGUAUCGUAAUAAAACUUCUGUGAGGGUGGCGUCUCUCUCAAAAUAUCUUAUCGUACUGCACUCACUCUCUUUGUGAUGAUGUGAGAGGGGAAAGUGCCUACCUGAUGACACAGGCGCUGUGACACAGCCUUAGGCUGACCUUCUGAGGCGACUUCGGAAGGUGGGUCACCUGCUUCUGCACGGACCGCCAUUGAGCGCGGGUAACUGGAACCGUUGUACUCAAGGCAGCUUCUUUGGGAGGGAAGGAGGCGCCGUAGUGGGCUCCAACUCUUCCUUCCCUCGGGGAGGGGAUAAACUGCCCUUGUUCUUGCAAAAACACCAACUGCCGCCUGCCGAGUCUUCCCAGGCGCCUGGCCCUUGGCCCCUCUCUGGGGUCCCAGAGGCUCAGAGAGAGGUAGUCAUUUGCCUGAAGUCACACAGCUCGUAAGAGGCCAAGCUGGAGCUCAGACCCAGGUCUGGCUGGCUCCAGGACCCCGUGCCCAUAGCUCCAGCGCCGCCCAAUGAGUCAGUGAGCGAGAGUUGGCCUGCCCGAUAGGACCGACUAGGCAUUUGGAAAGGGGACCGUUUGAAGCCUGGUGCCUCCUUCUAGAUUAAGUAUUGUUAUGGUGAGGGGAUAGAUGGAGCUCCCCCUACCCCACCCCAUCCUCCCCCCCCUCCAUCCACACACUUGCUCAAGGGCAAAAAUGCAAACCUUGGCCAAACCAUCCUUCUGGCCAAUGAGCACCCCGUAGUGUGGACUGAGUACCCUUGGGGGGGCCCAUCAGUCCUGGGUGCCCCUCACCCAGCACCACCCAGCAGAGAUUUGAGGAGGGGGCAGUGAGCCAGACCAAGGCUGAAAGAAGCAGCCUCACCUCAGCCUUCCCUGAGCACCCGUAUGGGCCGCAAGCCUAGGUCCCUUCCUGAAUGGCCCUCCUCUGCCCCAAGCCAUGCAUCCAGGGAGAAGGAGAAGCCCCGAACUGGGAAACACACUGGCCCCAGUGACCUUAACAGGGACACUGCUCAGCUGCCACUAGCUUCCACCCCGUACCAUCUUCCUCCUCCUCCUCCUCCUCCUCCUCCUCCUCUUCUUCAUUCGGCAAACAAGGAUGGGGCUGAAGUGUCCAGAGGGAGGCUGCCGCCUCAGGAUGGCAUCUGUAACAGCCAGGGCACCACCCCUGGCUGGUCUUCCAGGCUCAGAGGCCACUGGCCUGUCUCCCCGGAGCCUGCCAGACCUCAGGCAUGUGACCUGACAACCCCAUUGAAUCCAGGGGUGUCGGCUGAGAUAAACUGGGGCAAGAUGGCGAUAAAAGGAAAGAAUCAGGCUAGGACUCGGACCCCAGCUCUGCAGCUAACACACUGGGUUAAGUUCCGCUGUCCCUCCAGGCCCUUUAGGCUGUGAUGCUCCAUGAUUUGGGCUGGAAGGGAGAUUGCUUGGGUCAUCCCAUGGGUGAUGGUGGCUGCCUGGACUGUCAGGGAGGGAGAACCUGGAGUAGGGGUGGUCGGAGCGGCAUGGCAUGCUCUGGAUAGACAGCGAAGAGAAGGGAAGGCUUUCCAGGUCGAGAGUUCUGUGUGCAAAGGUAUGGAGGCGGGACUAGGAGGGCAUUUUCAGAACAGCAAACAAGCGCAUUUGACCGGAACGGAGGGUAGGUCUAAAGCCGGGUGAGAUCUGAGGCUGGCGAAGUGGGGAAGGUUGGAUGGCGAAGCGGCCUUAAUAGCCUACAACCAAAAUGCCAUUAAGUGGUAGAUGUCCUUCUUGGUAUCUGUCUCGGGAGGGAGUCCCUUUCUUUAUUUAGCCUGCUUGUAUCCUUUCCCCAACACCGUCAGGCCAAGAGCCCCAGCGCAGGGGAGAGCCCUGGGAAUUUGGCAUUAGUGACUCUGAGAUAUCAAAUAAUGGGAUAGGAGACCUGGGGUGGGAUUAGGAAGGGUAGGGAGCCUGAGAGCUGUAGUCGCCAUGUUUAAACCUCCAAAGAGCUUUCUAGGGAACAGACACUUGUUCCUUGUAACCUUAAAGGACAGGACGUGCAGUCCCAGAGGGGCAGCUGUCAGUAGGAAUAUUAGGAAGGACUCUCCAAGAGUCUGUCCAAAGAGAGAUGAGGUGAUUGAGCUCCCCGUCCCCAGAGGUAUGCAAGCUUAACACGGACACUGUGGAGAGAAAUCAAGUUAGAAGAGUUUGAGCCUCGUGGCCUUUCCCACCACCAGCCUGGAACUUCACAUCACAGCCCCGGCUGCCUUGGGACUGAACUCCCCUGCUGCCUGGAUGUCAGAUUCCCAGCUGGGCAUGACAUCAGUUCUGCCCUGACUUCACAAGGGCCCUCUGGGGACCCUCCUCCCCUCCACUUCCUUUCACCCCACUGCUGCUUUUCGUCCUUCCCAGGGAACCCACCAGGCCUGACCAGGGAGACCUGGAGCCUGCUUAUAAGACUGGGUCUCCAGGGAGCAUUCAGCCGAUGGCCUUCCACCCCAGCAAGAAUGAGGCAGAGGGGGCCCGGGUCCCUGGGAGCUCUGUUCACACGCCCCCGAGAGUCUACAUGGAAAUUCCAGGAGGGUCACAGGGAAGCUUCCAAUUUAGAACAAGACGCUUUAUUUUUGUCCCUAUUUCUUUCCUGUCCCUCUUUUCCCUUAGCAGUGGGUGGGGGUGUCACAGGAGGCUGUAAGAGGAAAGCAAGCCUCUUUGGGCUGAGUCACAGAAAGGCUGGGUGUGCAGAGAUGGGCCGUGGGCAGAUAGGAAGGGGAACCACAUAGGGCAGCCGUGUGGGAAAGAGUAGAGAGAGGCCAGGGCAGAGCCACGGGGACAGCCAGGCCUCGGCAGUGACACCAGAGCUCCGUGAGUUCUGGGUUCAGCCUGGGGUCAGAGAAUCAGCCCGGGUUCAGGAUUGGGGUUCCCAGGAACCUUGGGCACCGGGUCCCCACCUCAAUGGAUUAUAAAGCUACAGAGUAGUACUGAAUCCCUCUCGCUCACCCUGGCGAUCCUAGCAGAUGCUUAGUCAUCAUUCCUGGUGUUGAAUUUUAAACUCAUAGUGUCAUUAUCCUGUUAGAGCGAAAAGGGACCUAACAAGAGCGUGUUAUAGAUGUGGAACCUUGAGGCCAACAGCGGGGUGGGGUGGGGGAGGGACUUGCCCAAGAUCACACUGCCAGGGUGGCCGCCUAGCCUGGUGCAUCCUUCUUUGCCUCUUCCCUGCCUGUAUCCAGAGAUGGAAGCUACGAUAUGGUCCUCAAAGCCAAGGGAAGGGGACAGAAGAGAGGCAGGUGCCCCCCCAGGACAUAACUAUCCCCAAGAAGUAGUCAAAAGAUGACGGUGUAUCUUGAGUUCUAACUGCUCUGCUCAGGAACGCUCUUUUCCUGCCCAGAGAUAGUCCCUCACGUUGUCAGCUGCUGCAGACGGGAGGCCUCCUGCAGAGGAAAGAGCCCAAGGCUGGGAGGGGAAGCCCUGGGUUCUAUUCUUGGCUCUGCCUCAACCCUCCAUAUGACCUUGAGCAUGACCAUGAGUGUGAGGUCUUUUCUGGCCUCAGUGUGUUCAGAGCGGGGCUGGACCCAACCAGCUUAAACGGUCAGAGAUUCCACCCAUGAUCUGCCUCAGUCUCCCCUCCUCUCUCCCUGUCUCAAUCCAUCUAAGCUUUUGCCUGAGCACAGGAAGUCAGCCAGGACGAAAACAGCAACCUGUAGAUUCCCCUCUACUGGGAGCAGCAUCCUCUCUGCCCAAGCUCUGCUGUCCAGCCUCGGACUUCCCAGAGAGGCAAGAAGCUGGAACGGCCCUGAAGAUCACCCCAGUGGGGGAAUCAGAGACCAGAGAGGUUCAGCAUAUUGCUCAAGGUUACACAGCAAACCAUGUGCAAAUGGGAAGUGGGCCCUUGGGUCCCCCGAUGCCCAGACCAGUGCCCUCUCCACUAACCACGCUGCCCUUUAGGGUAAUGGGCACGUUAGCCAUCCACGCGUGAGCCUGGGAUCUAUUUACCUUGACACCUCAAACGUCCACACAGUCUCUUUCCCUCUCUGGGAUGCAGUUUCUUCUAAAAACAGGGAGAUGGCAUGGACCAGAUGUUUCUCUAAGGUCUUGCACUCCAUCACUGGGGCUCCACCAGGACCCCAGGGCUUUCCAGUGUGGCCACCCCAGCCCUCUCUUCACAGACGAUGGAGCUACCCUCCUCCCCUCCCCCCAACCGGCCAGGACAUCCCACCAAGUCACAGCCCUCACCCAGACUGUCCCACCCUGGACCCCAGGGCUGGGCCUCAUCCAGAACUACAGGCUCCUGGCCCAGCUCCCCCUCUGGGGAUCUGAAUUUUUCUUACCAUAAAAGGGCAAGCGUGCCUCUCUCCCCGUCCCUGCUGCCAGCCCCGCUGGGGGAAAGGCUGAGCUAUUUUUAGAAAACUCAAGGGUUUGCUCCUGGACUUGAGAUGGAGCUUGUCGGAGCCUGCAGCCCGGGGAGCCCCUUCCCCAUCUCCCUCGCCCGCCUUCUCUCCCUCUGCCCCUCUUCUCACCCCUCACCCCCUCUUCACUCACUUUCUUCCUCGCCCUGCCUCUCUCCCUCUUGCCCUUCGGUCAAUGACUCCUCCCUCUUCCUCCCCGUCUCCUCUCUCUUCUCCCCCAUCUCAUACACAGCUCCCCUCCCCCCCCAUCCCCUCCUUCAGAUCCGGCUUUUGGAAGAUGGAGAGAGUAACACAUCUUCACCCCCAUCCCCUUCUUAAACACUAUUUACAACAUAAAUUCCAAACAUCCGCCAUCUGGUUCUAGGAAGGGCCAAAAGAUAUUUAGAAAAGGAAGUCAUGAUUAUUCCAUCUUCAAAGCCAAAGGAACUUAAAGGCCCCCUCUCUCCCGCCUCCCUCCCAGGGCCUCUUUGUUAAGAUCUAACAGAUUAGGAUCCCUCCGUGAGUAGAAAGAGCCAGUCCCAGCUGGGCCUCGGACUGCAUCACUUUGAGCGGGUUGCCUCUCCUCUCCGUACCUCGGUUUUCCUCAUCCAAGCAAUGGGCGCGAGAUGAGGUUGCCUCCAGCACUAACGUUCUGAGACUUUGAGUCCUGCUGCAGAAAACCCACCCGGCCCAGGUCCCUGUGGCCUGCUCUGGGCUGAGCAUAGGGUGGGCUAGCAGGGGAAGCGAGUGAGAGCCAGCGGGGGAGUUCCAGCCUCAACCUUCGGUGCCCCUUCUCUCUCGCUCCGUGGAGAUCCAUGCAGACCGUCCACCUUCCAAUUCCAGCACACUGACACUAACACCAAGGGGAUGGGCUGGGGUCAAGCCAUCCCCCCAGUGGGAUACCAUGGAGUCCGGUCCCCUCCCCACCACAUCACAGUGAGGCCCAGAGAGGGGAAGGCUCUUUCCGCAAUCACACCGCAGGUGACCUGGAUUCUAACCAGCUGCUCUUCCCAUCCAGGACGCUCCAGAAGAAACCAGCAUUUGUAGUAUCCAGAGAGCGUCGCUCAGAGCCAGCAAACCGGGACCCUGGAGGCCCCACUUCUUUGCAAAGUGGACAGGGCAGAAGGGAGAACUAAUCCCUUUGCUGCGGUUGGUUGGUUUUAAACAGACAGCACGCUAGGGAAGAAGUACGAGAGGCAUAACGAAAAUGGAAAGUCUCCCUGCUUCUGGAGAUGUGCACCUUUGCCGGGGUCCGCACACCUCCGUUUACUCUGCAGAUGCUUCUUUGCCCACAGCCCCGUGUCCACCUCAGUGAACACAGGCCUGACGAAACGCCGUGAGACACUCACCCAGGCUGUCGCUCUAUAAAAAUGGUGCCGGGGGAUAGUCGGGUCUCACGGGGCAGCCGUGAAAACGCGUGUUGGGCUGGCCGAAGCCCAUCCUGAGCCUGACGCUCACCGGCCGUGUGACCUUGAGGGAGCGCUAUGACCUCUGCGAGCCUCAGUUUCUCCGUCUGGAAAAUGGGGGUGAAAACGGUACGCAACUCCUCUACGUGGUUGUGAGAAAGCCAGUGCAAAGCACUUAGCGAGUGUGGGGCGCAUCGAAAGCUCUUGUUAGGAUCACAGCAGGUCCCGGCGUAAGUGGGUGGUGGCUACUGUAACUGUCACUGUGUGUCCCUGCCUUUGUUCUCACUGGAAGGUCACGGUGAAUGAGAAGCACGGGGGUCCUCUAGCCCCCAGCCUCCCGGGGCCUGAGCACCAGGCUUGGUAUUAGGGGCCAGGCAGGUGGAACCCCCUUCCUCUCCCUCUCUUCCUCCAUCACUCUCAGUUCAGCCUCAAACUGCAUUCCCAGGGCUUGCUCAAAAGUCCCCAGCAGCAGCCUUCCCUGGGGAGGAAGUAGGGAGCGUGUGAGGCUAGUGAACUCAGCUGGGGUGUCAAGGGGGUGGGAGGGCGCCCUGGGAAACAGAGGCCCGGAGAAGCCGCAUCACCGAGGGGACAUGGAAAGGGGCCCCACGUGGUGGCUCCCACCCCAGCAUCCACAUCUUCUCUGGAUGCCUCUCUGGACCUUUGCCCCCAUCCUUCCUGCUUCCCUCCCUCCCAAGCCUAUGCCUCACUGUGGGUCCAGCCCCGGGCUCAUAAUGGAAAUGCAGCCAUGUAUGUGGGCUCCCUACAUGCCAGCAACUGCGCCUGCACUUGACACGGACCUCAGCUGACCUUCACAAACAAGCCUGAGGUCGGGGACCAAGUUCAGAGAGGUGAAGCCACCAGCUCUUGGUCACACAGCUAGAAAGAGCUAGGGGGAGGUUCGGUGCAGACCUGCCUGGCUGCAGGGCCUGGGUUCUCUGUUCUUUGCAAACGUCUGGUGGAAAUCCCAGGACCCUGGAGUCCAAGGAGGGCACAGGCUGCAAUCCGUGUACAUGCGUGAGGGAGCAAGGAAGGGGAGCUGAGGGCAAGGAAGCCCCUCCAGGGGGACCCGGCUGUGGGCACGGUUUCCUGUGCUUGCGAGGAGCUUCGAGCUCAGCCCUCUCCCACUGUGGUGCCAUCUGGCUCCCAGAUGUGGCCCAUUCCCAGGCCCUCGUGUUUCUUGGAAGUGAGCAAAGCCAGCAGAGGGCACAGCGGCUUUUGCAAUGACCGUAACGAUGUGAGCUUUGUUUCGGGGUCAUCCAGCAGGCCGCUGCUCAGGCUGGAUGGAGCGUGAGCCGCCCUGGGUUCAAGCUUCCUUCUGAUUCUUGCCAGUGGAUGACGCUGGGCACACUGCAGAGCCACUGAGAACCUCGGUUACGCGGGGAAGUUACUCCUACCCCUGGCGGAGGUGGUACCUUCAGUUAUGGAAGGAAGCACUUUGCAGGGUGAAAGCCUUGUGCAGCUCGAAGCGGUCACGGGCGGCCCCAGGGCUGUCCCCUCGGCCUUGGCCACUGUGGUAACCCAAAGUUUGGACCUACCCCUAAAUGGCUCCUUUCUGACGUCUGAGGCCGGAGGUGGAGCCAUUGGUCAGAGGGGCCUCUGGGAAACUUUCUUCCAGACCCCUUGUUUCGCGUUGGGGCCUUAGUGUGCUGGGAAGGGACCGUGGCCCCUGCUGCUCUUGGAGCUUAGAGCCACUCAGAACACUCCCUUGGAAAGCCGGGCAGGUAAAGUGGGGACAGUGGCUGCCUAGGGACUGAGGAGCAGGCUCUUUGGAGCUUGGAAGAUCCUAACAGCCUCAGCCUCAGACUUCUGGGGACCCAGCAGGAGGCCAGGCCCAUAUUCAGUCCCUCAGAGCCCGGAAGCCCAGUCAGGACCCACGGACGGCAGGGCUCUGGCCACAGGGCUCCCCAGCAUCCUUCUGAAAGGCUGUAUCUUUGUUUCUUUCAGGCAAGGGCACUGGCCGGUGGGAGCCACUCUUGCAACGCUGACAUUGGACGAGCAAGCACCCCAGAGAGGGCCUCCUGAGGACCAGAGAGGAGGGCAGGCGGCAGAGGCCCUGAAAACAGAGCUGUGAGUGCCUCCCCCACGCCUUCCACAGCCCCAGCCCUGCCACUGGGGGCUCCCGCAACAGCCCUGCGCGCCCCCAGGAUACCUCCCCAUCCCGACCCUCAGAAUGACCAGGAAACCAGGCCUUGCACUGGGAAGAGUUGAAGGAAGGCCCUGCUGACAGAGGGGGUGCGGGCCAUCAAAGCUGCUACAUGUGGGCUGUAGGAGAAAAGAAGUGAAGUCAGAGAAGGGAAAACCAAGCCGGAGCUAGAAAUCCACCCCACCCUACGCUCCCUACAAGCUAGCAACGAAAGCCUCUGCGCUACGGCGAACGACAGCCUUGGGGGAGGACAGCAGAAUUCCCUGGGAAGGAGUACACAGGGUCGGGCUCUAGAAGCAGACAGACCUGGGCGUGGUGAGCCUGGUGAUAACCAGCUCACAGGGCCUCGAAAGGGUCUGUGAGGUCAGGCGUGUGCCCGCUGCUGGGCACACGGUGAAGCCCAAGAAACCCGUCAUAGCUUUCGUCCCUUCUACCACAUUCUUCAACACUCGCCAGCUUUCGUUCCCCGCGGGUGGAGCAGGCAGGGGUGAGGUACCAGCUCCCUGAGGGCAGGUAGAGACACGGAGGCAGAGAGAGGCCGAGGCGCUCACUCUCAGAGCGGGGUUCUGGCACCGGGUCUCAGGAGGGUUGGAAAAAGUGGACAAAGACCUGAUGGCGGGAGAGGGGGAGGCAGGGCUCUGGCAGGGAGCUGACGCUCCAGGACAGGUGACGAGGCCCAGGCCUGGCUUAUAUAACGCAGCACACCUGUUCACCUCUGCACACGCCCCACGCUCGUUUGUGCGAGCAAACGUGGGCCCCCGCACAGCACACACCCCCGGGCCCUCACUCGCUAGCCAAUGAGCGUCAGAGCCCUGGCCUGAACAAAUUGGAUUAGGAGGGCUGCAGACACCUCUCCCCCCUCCUCCCCUCCCCCCCCCCUGCACUGUCCAGCUCCGACACUGAGCAGACCUGCGGGGCGGCCAGCUGCUGUCCCUCGGCCACGCUGACAGUCUGUCCUCCGUCCUGGAGACCUGCCCCUGGGCCCCCAGGAAGAGGGCCGGGGGUCUGAGAGGAUGCCGGGAUGACGGAUGGGCUGGCCCAAGAGCACACAGGAUGUCGGUGCUUGUGCAAGGCUCGUCUCUGAGCUGUUCCCAGCAGCCCAUCCCCUCCUCCCCUCCCACCUCCCUUCCCAAAGCCUCUCCCGUGAUCACUGCCGCCAGGGCCCAGAGCCCCGGCUCCCAGCAGACCCAUCCUCGUCAGUCCCACAGCUGGGCAGGCGAGAACUGGUCAGCCUGGGAGAAGAUGGCCUGGGGACAAGACACAAGAGAGAGAGAGAAAAAGGAGCUUAUGAACAGAGACAAUGCCGAUCAUAAAGGUGACAUCUCAGUGCGUUCUCAUGCAUCGUUUUGUUCCAUCAUCAGAGUGGGCCUGGGAGUUGAGAGAUUGUGCCCAUGGCACAGAUGUGACUACUGACGUCUGCUAUUCAGGGAUUCCACAGCUCCCCUUUCGUGAGCCCUGAGUCUGCUCCAGCCCCGAAUGGGGUGCUGGGAACACCGGCAUGAACGCCUUGGUGCGCCCAUCGCUAAACAGGUCAGGCUCCUUUGGGCUUGGCCGCUGGGCACUGGGGGCCCCCCGGUCUUCUGAGGGAGCGGCACCAGUAGGUAGAUGCCUUUUCCAUAUGGCACAGGUGAGCGGCUGAAUAUUACAGCGAGAGCAGCCUUAGCAAGCAGCCCAUUCCAAACACAGACCCUGAAGGCUGACAGCCCCAAGUGCAAACCCUGCCUUUCUAGCUGGAGAGCUGUAGUCCAGCUGGCCUCGCCAAGCCUGUUUUCCCUUCUGCGAAAUGGAGGUACAGAAGCUCCCCUUCGUGGGACUCACCGUUGAGGAUUAGUACUUUUCACACCCUCAUUUGACACAGGGAGACACAGAGGUGGGAGAGGGAAGAGGCCUGGCCAAGGUCACAGUGCGAGUUGGGGAUUAAGUCGGGACCAGAUAGAAACUCUCUUCCUCCACCCCUCAUCCCAGUAUAAAUCCUCCCCACGGUGGGGGUGGGGGGGUGGGGAGGGGGCUGGCUGGCUCAGUCCGUUAGGUUAAGCUUCUGACUUUGGCUCAGGUCACGAUGUCACAGUUCGUGAGUUCGAGCCCUGCCUCAGGCCCUGUGCUGACCGCUCAGAGCCUGGAGCCUGCUUCAGAUUCUGUGUCUCCCUCUCUCUCUGCCCCUCCCCCGCUCACGCUCUCUCUCAAAAAUGAAUAAACAUUUAAAAAAAAUCCUCCCCACGGGCUCCACCCCAAGUAGCCUAGAGGCCGUGACAGGCGGCUCAGCAAUAGAGGCAACUAUGGAGACAUAUCCUGGGACCCACCCCGUACCUUCAGCCCUGCCGCAGCCUCGGCAGCACCAGAGGCCCAGGUGCCCGGCAGUGGCCCCCAGCCCUCAGUGGUGGUGGAGGGUGGGGGAGUGCAGUGACAGUGACGGCUCUGGCCCAGAGCAGCCUGCCCAUAUAAGGGAAGGAGCUGGGGAGGCCUCCUCACUUGGGCCUGGCGAGAAAACCCAGACAGCCACUGUUUAUUUUCUCCUUCCCAGCCUCCCCGGAGCUUCCCAAGAAGACAGAGGCUCCCCCGGGCUGGGCUUGGCGACAUUUCCUGAAGACAGUAGGGAGCAGUGAGGGGAAACUGGCCCGUUUCUGGGAGCAACGCCGCAGACUGCCAACAGCCGGCACCAGGUAAGAAUCCGCCCGCUGUGAGUCUAAGGCCACCUGCUCAAGUGUCUCCUUGGACACAGGGGAAAGGGAGCCACAGAGAGGGGAAGCACGUGGGAGAAGUG